AAUAAUUUCUUUUUUUUUUUUUUUAAUUAAUUUUUUUUUUAAUUAUUGAUAGGUGAAUGUGUUUUCCAUGUUUUCCUUUAUUAUCCAUUAAAGAUGAAAACUAAAGUUUUCGUGGCAAAUGUAAAAUAAAAAAAACUGUUUUCUACAAGUAAACAAGCCCUUGAUAUUUUGAGGGCCUGAAUUGAAUGUUGUUGAUAUUUUGCUUUCAGUUGAUUACCAUUGUUUGAUGCAAUACCCUCUCUCCUCCGUUGAAAAGAAAAGAAGAAAAACUCUCUGAGCCCUCAAAUUUGAUAUAUAAAUUGGAUAGCUUCAUAUAGGUUUCUAAUUUAAUAAAAUUUUCUUUAAUUAUUGUACUCAUGAUUAUAUUUUUGUUGGGCUGUUUUAUUUUCUUUGUAGUUAAAACGAAUGGCAUUGUCUUUUGUUGGUAGAUCAUCAACAAUGGCUUUGCAUAUGUUGUUGAAGGAGAUGUGUUCUUUGCUGUUGAUAAAUUCCCAAAUUAUGGUCAAUUGUCUGGGCAGAAACUUGAAAAUACUAGAGCUGGUGAACGUGUUGCUGUUGACACAAGAAAACGUAAUCCUGC
rnacentral:misc_RNA from 1 species